rnacentral:pre_miRNA from 1 species
UUUCUACUCCCUCCGUCCGAAAAUACUUGUCAUCAAAAUGGAUAAAAAGAGAUGUAUCUAAACUAAAAUAUGUCUAGAUACAUUUCCUUUUAUCCAUUUUGAUGACAAGUAUUUCCGGACGGAGGGAGUAUUUG